AUCCAGCUGAUGAGUCUCAAAUAGGACGAAACGCAAGUCCUGGAU
rnacentral:hammerhead_ribozyme from 1 species